GAAUAACAGAGACAUAUGAAAUGAUUGCUCAAACUAGAGACAAACUUACCUAGUUUUUUUUAAUCCAAAUUAUAAGUUUUUCUGAAAUUUAUAACUUAUAUGUGAAUACAUAUAUACGAUAACAUAAAAUGUAUUCGUCUAUAUUAAACGCGAUAUUAAAUCGUUAUCAAAUCGUUAUCAAAUCGUUAUCAAAUCGUCGUACGUCAAUCCUCUCCUCCAUUUUACUUGAUAUAAAAACAUUUGGAUAGAUCAGAAAAAGAAAAAGAAAAAAAAAAAAAAAAAAAAAGAAAUCAGAGAAACUUCCUUAAAUGUCUGUACAUAAUCGACGAUUCGAUUAUUCAAAACACGAACAGAUCUGUCGACGUUACGAGAAAAUAUCGUGAAAUUGCAAAAAAAAAAAAUUAUUCUUCUCCAACUUGAAGUUCCUAAAAACACGCAAGUGCGUAUAUACACACGGGAAGACACACACGUACAUACAUACACAAAUAUAUAGAAAGACAAACUUGUGUGAGAGUUUACACAAUUUGUGUAAAAAGAUAGAAAAUGUUGAAACGACAGAAAGAAUAAUUUAUAACGAUUGUUAUAACAAAAAUCCAUCAAACUCGCAAGGGAAAUAAUAUUACAUAUUACGAAGUGCAUGACCCCAUAUGAAAGAUCCGAGUUUAUGGAAAGCUCCGGAACGAACGUCUCGAUGGAGAAAACAUAUUAAAAAAACGCACACACACACACAAACAUCGUAGAAUUUCGUUACAAACGUAAUCGUCGAAACUCGUCUGUUAUCACAAAGUCAUUUCACCGGAAAUUCAUCCGACAUCCCUUGAAUAGCUCUUUCGUAAAAAUAGAUGGAAACUUUUCCUCGGUAAAAAGCACAACCUGCUUAAAAUGGUAAGAGAGACACGCAACAAUACAAAAAAUAAAACACACAACGACCACAGCA